GAUGAACGCUAGCGGCAGGCUUAACACAUGCAAGUCGAGGGGCAGCAUGAGACGGAGAUUCGUCGAAGUCUUGAUGGCGACCGGCGCAAGGGUGCGUAACGCGUGAGCAACUUGCCCGUUUCAGGGGGAUAACCGGUGGAAACGCCGACUAAUACCCCAUAGUAUGUUUUUAAGGCAUCUUUUAAACAUUAAAGAAAUUCGGAAACGGAUAGGCUCGCGUGACAUUAGCUAGAUGGCGGGGUAACGGCCACCAUGGCGACGAUGUCUAGGGGUUCUGAGAGGAAGGUCCCCCANACUGGAACUGAGACACGGUCCAGACUCCUACGGGAGGCAGCAGUGAGGAAUAUUGGUCAAUGGUCUGACGACUGAACCAGCCAUG
rnacentral:rRNA from 1 species